CUUCUCAUCUCCAUCUCAAAGGGCUGAUUUCCUUCAAUCAGCUUCCUCCCCGUCAUUCUUCUCUACCUAUCCAUUACGUUUGGGAGUUAAUUAGUGGUAAGGGUACACACAGUUUUUCGGAUGAAUCGAAGGUGUAUUUUGUUAGAUUCAAAAUACAAUCGAUUCUCAUCUUCAUUUUCAAGAUCUAAAAAAUGGGAUGGCCUUAGAAGAUGAUUGCAAAAGGCUUCAUCUGGAUUUUUAAAGUAUAAAUGGUUCAGAUCUAAAAACGCGAUGGCCUGAAAAGACGACGGUAAAAAGGUUCACUUGGAUUUAAUUUUGUUCAAUUCUGAGGAUUGCAUCAAGACACUUGACGUCGGCGAAACAACCACCGCCAAAUCGAAAGGUCGCAACUUUAUCUAAUUCGUAAACAAAAACCGGUCGGUGAUUUUCCGUCUAAGACCAGGGCUCCAACAGAGAGACGGUUCGGUGGCUGGAUCGGGAAGUCGUCGUCGAUGAUUCAUCAGCGGCUAGGGUUUGAUUGUAAUUUGCUAUGUAUCGUCAAUUCAUCUUCGUUUUGUUCACUGUAUCAUCAGAUUGUCUCAUUCCAUUUACGAUAAAUCAAAGGUCAUUGUUGGCUGCGCUUCAAUUUCUAAUGCAAUUAUAACUUUUGAUACAGUUAUAAUUAACUAUGAAAGUGUCCAAAGUGUGUUUGAUCCUUGUGAGUAUGAUAGAUUGAGUUUUGGAGGUGAUUCAAUGCAUCAAGAUGGAGAUAGUGAAGCUCAUAGUAAGGUGUGAAGAAAUGAUAACCACAUACGCCUACGACGACUCACUUGCAACGGUAGACAAGAUGCACUCCGCCACUGACCAACCAAAGCUCAUGUCACUAACCAUCAAACCUGAUCGCUAAGUUGCAAUAAACAGUGUUUUGGAACCUUAGCAUUACCACCAAGUACCCCAGCGUCUCAAUCACAUGAUGCUACCAGCUUCCAAUCCCUGACACAAAUAAAUCAGUGAGCACAAAUGGUUUAAAAUUGAGUACUUCGAAUGAACUUGCAUACGAGGAAGGGUUUACGCUCUACAAUCCCAAAGCAGACUCAUCUGAAGCUCGCAUAACUGCUCGAGUGUUGCUGGCAACAUAACCUGACAUUGAGAUGCAACUUCACCGAAAUUCUCGACAAAUUAAAGAAAUUAUUAGGAAAAGAGGGUUCAUGGGAGCAAUGAUUUCUCUCUGGUUCUCUCUCUAAACGUCUCUUGCUGCUAGAUCCCUUAUUAUGUUGAUUUCUUGGGCUACAAAAGUUGCUGAAGCACCUAAUACUGAUAUGGAGUUCUGGAAAUCGAUUGUACCUGACCCAUACCCACUUCAAAAAUCCCUAUAUCUCAAGCAUUCGAACUCUCAUUCAGGGUUUUUUUACCCGAGUUACACACAAAUGGAAAACGAGAGCUGAGUCCUACAACAACUAUGGAGUCUUCAUCAUCAUCGGCGGCUGAGUGGAUGUUAAUGAACAACGUCAUGUUUAUAGUAAUUUGAAAGCUUCGGAAGUGGUUAGCAACAAUUCAAUCCAGUCAUGGGUGUCUAAUCACAUUCACGCGGAUCUGUGUUUGAUAAUUAGCAUGGAUUUGUUAUUUGCGGAUCUGAUUCAGUGGGUUCGCACAAAUCAAGAAGGCUUUAUAAAUAGUUUCAGUUACAAUUGGGUAAAGAUUGCAUUGCCUUUAAUCAUCCUUCAUGGUAGACUUGCGUUAAUUCGGGGUAUUUUUUAUAAUUUUACGUACUUAGCAAUAGACGCUAAGUUUCGAGGGAUUUUUCUUCAACCAUUGUUCUGUUUAAUGUGGGUGACAAGUAAGACUCAAAUUGCGUUAAUUCAAGGUAUUUUUUUAUAAUUUUACUCACUAAUGAGAUGUCCCAUACAUGUAUUUAAAUGUUAUCCAAACAAAUGCUUCUCAUCUCUUGCACUAUUUUGCCACUAAUACAAGGCUGCGAAUGUUUUGGGUUUGGGUUAUAAUUGUUCAUAUUAUAUUGCAUUUUAUUGAUUUAGGAUUUUUUUUAUCAAACUACAUUAUUUCAUUUGGUUGUAGAGAAGGCGGCUUCAAAGCAAUCCAAACCACCUCAAUAGAUGAUUUUUAAAGGAUUGGCGGAUAAGUCAAACUGGCUUGGCUUAAACUUUUCUUUAAAAUCAUGUAAAAUAAUUUACAUGUAUUUGAUAUAACAUAUACCGGUAUGUUAUUGCUAAGAGGUCGAUAUCAACUUUGGAAAUUGGUGCACAAUGUCUGCAUCAUCAAUCGUUGGUCUUGCUGAUAGGUCCAACAACAUCUGAGUAGGUGAUGCCGGUGUGUUUGGGGGUAUCACAGCUGCAACUGGUUCAUAGAAGGUUGGUUCCAACUAAGGGUUUGACUCUGAUGAUGAGGACAGUGUGGUCCAGUGAUGAUGUUGGACCAGAUGGCAUCGAUGAUGGUGUGGGAUGUGAUGACUUAACUCAGGCGAUGGUUUUUCGAGAAAAAUGUGAGAAUCGACUACUUUAUCUUUGUCUCUGGUCCGUACCUGAUAAAAAUGUACAAGAGAUCAAAAUAAGGUAAAAUGUCAGAGUGUGGAUGUAUGGAGAAGAAUAAGGCUGCAUAUAUGUUAGAAGUCUUGGGAAAUCAGAAUGUGCAGGAUGGGAAUAGACAAAGGUGGUGGAUAUCGAAUAGCAAGUUAUGGUUCAGUAUUGCCAAAUAUCAAUGGAAAGCAUAUUACGUUUUGUUUUUGUGCAUUCUUUUCAAAGUUGAAGGUUGAAGCUAAAGAACAACCAAAAUUUUUGCGGAAUAUUUAGUUUACCGUUGUGCUUGAUUUCGCUUUUCUUAAGGACUAUUAAAAUUGUUGAACCAAGACCUUUCGUUUAGUUUGUAUAUAAAAUACUACCUUAUCCUCAGUUAUAUGGUAUCUAUUUUUUUGCAAUUCCUUCAACCUGAUGGUUUCUUAUUCAUAACAAAACCAAUGACCUCUGUGAAAUGGAACCAAGUCAGAACAGUCUAGGAGGUGAACCAAUUUCUAAUGACUUAAUCUAUCUUCAGAUCGUCGCACAGCAGAUUUUCUGGGAGAUACUUUUUAGAGAACACUUCGCGUAAGGAGGGUUACUACUUAUGUCACAACCGAGCAGAACCCGCAACAAUCCUGAUUUCUCACUUCGUUUCUCUCACACUUGACGCUUGCCAAUUUCGGGACGAAAUUUCCUUUAAGUUGAGGAUGAUGUGACAACCCCGAAUUUCCAAGGAUUGGGUUGUCCAACUGUACACAAGUAACUAACAAAUUAUACCGAGCAAACCAAGGUAAUUAUUGAAGGAACUUGGGAACUUGCCGUCUGAUGCUGC